rnacentral:lncRNA from 1 species
CUUCAGAUUUCGUUAGAAGAAUCAGCUAAUCCUAUUUAAAAUAUCAAAUCAUUAUCAAAUUCUAUUCCAUAAAUAUAACAAGAUUAAAUCAUAAGAAAAGAGGACUGUUGACCGGAUGUGUCGAACCAUCCAGAUACCAGGACAAUUCAGGAUCUCUGAUCUGAGGGUCAGAUUCAAGUGACUUGAUCAAGAAAUUGUGAAGCACAGAUUAGAUCAAGAUCAAUCAAUAGAGUUCAUUAAUAAUGAAUUUGAAAUAUCCUUGAUAUGAUCAAAUAUGGUUGACAUACAGCACGGAUAUCAAAGCAACUU